rnacentral:lncRNA from 1 species
CUAAGUAGGAUGUUGCUAAUGGGUUUCUUUUUCCUUUUUUAAGCAUCAAGAUGCCCUCACUUGGACUACAUUCAGAAAUUAUAACAGAAUUAUAAUGAAUUACAACAGCCACAUUUUCAUUUUAAUGCAAACAAAAUGCACUAUGUGUUAAGUGGAUGUGGAAAGGAGUUCCUGUAUAAUCAUGUGCUUUUAUUCAUCUGUUCUUCACUACUAAUACUUAUUCUUAAUGAAUAUUUGAUUGAAUAAUGAAUUGGAUUUUC